CGCGAGGAUAUCGUCGGCGAAGGCCAAUAGUCGGUUAUUCCCGCAAUGGACGAUGUGUACAGUGUCGGAUAUGAGUCUAAGUAAGAUUUUUCCUCGGCACGCCACCACAUAUCGUUCCAUCGGCCCAUCAACCCCUUGAGGAACGUAGGAAGAAGGAAAUACCGGAGGUGGAGUAAAAGUUG